UCAGUCCCACGAACAGUGAGAUCGUGGGCUGAGCCGAAAUCAAGAGUCAGACGCUCAACCGACUGAGCCACCCAGGUCCCCUGUUUGAUCCACCUUUAAUCGACUGCCCCGGGCCCUCUUGUCAGACGUACUCUCGCCUCCGGAACGGUCCCCGUGUCGCAGACCCACUGCGAGAAUUAAGUGAGGCGAGGAGGCUUGUGAAGCUCCGAGCCAGUCCCCCGUCCUGUGGUGCCGGAUACGCGUCAGCCCCACGUGGCUGGAACAUGAAGCCCUUCCACAUCGCCACCGCGAUGACACGAGGGAAGCUGAGGCACAGAGAGGGUGAGGAACUUGCCCCAGGCCCCCAGCAAGAACGCACUGGAGCUGGGGCUCGAACCAGGCCUGCGUCCCGAGCUCCAGCACGAGACGGCCCUGCCCCGCCCCGUCCCCGGUGGAGGCACUCCUGUAGGACCCGCGAGCCCUGCACAGGGACCUCGCCCUCGGCUCCUGGACGUCCCCAGCUCAGAGCUUCCACUCGUGUCUUGCCUCCUCCCUGUGUCUGCUUGGUCCCGAGGCACUCCCCGGGGAGGCGGGCAGAGCCAAAAAACCCUGGCUCGCCUGCCUUGCUAAUAGAACUAGAAUGUUCUUGUCGAGACGGGUUUCUUUUGGGGAUGGCCAAGCAAGCCACGUACUCAGCUGCUGGAGGCAGAGGACAAACACGAUGUGUCAUCGGGGACUCGGCCGCGGCAGCUGACACUUGUCCCUCGCUCUUCGGGGCCGGCUGUGCGAGGAGGAGACUGUUCUUAGGCCAAAUCCAGCAUCGCCGGGGGAGUUUUCAUAAUUGCUGAUCACUCCGGGCUUCCCUCCCACGUUCCUGUCACUUCCCUUCUUCUCCCGAGGGGACUCGCAGGGUCAGCUUGCGGACCUCAGUUGCUGGGACGUCGCAGCCCCUCACCCUGUGGGGAGGGGGCCCUGGCGGUCUUCUCUGAUCCCUUGACAUCUCCUGCUUCAGGGAAUCCCACAGACUGGGCGGAAUCUGAGUCAGAAACCGUUUCUGGCUGCUCUUGAACAUGAUCCCCGGCUCUCUGUGGGUUUCCUUGGCCGGCGUCAACCUGGACGGCCGGUUCCCUCUGGAGCACUAGACCCCAACACUAGUAACAUCGCCUCCGAGCUCCCCCGGGGCUGCAGCGAAGGGAGAGAAGCUGGGAGGCGGCCGCUGGGUCCCAUCAGCCACGGCGCCGCGGCCCGCGGGUGCGGGUGCGGGUGACAGCAUCCUGCAGGACGCGGCUCGCGUGCCUUAUGACUCAGUGCGGGAGAUAAUUGCACACAGAUCUGUUUUCUUUUUCUCCCUGUCUGGUUAUCUGCAACUCCAAGAUAGCCACCCUUCCCUGCACGAUUUGCCCUCAGGCAAAGGUCUGUUUUGUUGUGUGCUUGUAAAUCCCGGUCUUGAUUUUCUCACCGUGUCCAGCCGCUGUGGCUUGUGGUGGGGAGGGGCACGUCUGCAUUUUGGCCCCCUUGGACAUCCCAUCUUGGGGGUCUGGCUUCUUCUGUGCUAGUCACAGAUGGAUGACAUCGUAUUUUGGCGACUCAAGAGCAGGCGGAAUACAGGACUCCAGGUGGGCUGCUGGGGGCUGGGGGUCCCUGUCCUCACGUGCUGCCUUAGGCUGUGAAAGUCAGAGCGAGCAGGUGUGGCCUAAGGAUUCUGCCUCCUGGGUCAACCCCAUCAACCGUCUCCCUCUCUCUCUAUCGCCAUUGCAAGCCCCCUCGUAUAACUUUCCCUGCUACGAGAUGGCAUUGAAUUUGACCAGAGUGUGACCAAGUCACAAAUACAUUCCCUUUGGAAAUGUCCUCACUGUGCCUCGCCUUCUAGAGAGUCCACAUUUUCAAGCGAACUAGAAGUCAUUCCCUCUCAGCUCCUGUCUUUCUCCCGUCCUUCGGGCUGUUGGUUCGUUUUUUUCUUCCUACCGCCAGUUGGCAUUAGAUCCCAUCUGAUCGUGCAUCUGACUUUCGGUUUGCUGCGGUUUCCUCCCACCGCGAUGGCAACAUCGGGACAGAUGCAAACCUGAUGGGUGCUCCGCCCUCUGUGUCGAGAACUGUACCCCGGGCCGUGCAGGAACUCAACUGGUACUUGGGGAUCGAUUGCAUGGAGCCACUCACUAAAUACGAAUCAGUGACAGUCCCGUGGUGCAUGUGGGGCACCGAGGUCAACUGUGACGAGUUGGGGACGGCUGGGUGAGGCGCUGUGCUGUAUACAUGUUGCACGCCCGUGACCGUGUUGAAUGGGGGGGGGAGCGGGCAGCGGGGCAGUCAGCGAGCGGGGCUCUGCGGUCCCUCCGUCUGGGUUCAAUUCUGGCCCCAGUUCUCGGUACACCCCUGCCCUUGGGCAGGUUGCUCAGGCCCCUCUGGGUCAAUUUCCUCAUCUGUAAAUCCCCCCCGUCUGGGGAUGAUGUUAGUACCUGUCUCACCGGGACGUUGUCCAGAUUAAAUAAGGUAAUGCGUGCAGCGCACUUAAAAGGUGCUCCGUGCAGGGUGUGGGCUCAGCAAAGACAGCCGUUACUAAUCCUUACAGCAGCCCUACUAAGCGGGCACCACUAUGAUCCCGAGUUAGCAGACUGGGAAACUAAGCAAGGGAAACAACACCCACCCUGUGCUCAGCGAGUCUGCAUUUAAUAUGGGACAAACGCACAAAAAACUCGGCUCUGCAUUGCAUUGUGCUUAAAAAAAAAAAAAAAGAAAAGAAAAGAAAAAGCCAGAUGCAGGCAAGGUGCUUCAGAUCCCAUUCCUUAUGGAAGGACAGGUUCCAAAGCCCACGCUCGGGUCACAGCGCUAUAUUCCGUGGCUUCUGGGACGCCUUGGCAUGACUUCAGUGUCAUUCGAAGAAAAUCCCCGGUUACGCAAGCACCUGGGCCGGGGUGCGGCCUCAGGAACAAGCAGCGUUAAGCAUGUGACACAAACGGGCGGCUUGAAGACGGCUCUGCGAGUGGAAGAGGCUCGUCACAACCCAGCGGCAUCUGCAGGGACGGUUUAGGCUAAGCGUGCUGUUGCAGUUGGUUCACGGGUUGGCUUGGUGAUGGGGCUGCCUCGUGGUCUCCAGCCGACGUCUGUUUACUGAUGGUGUCCCGUUUCUGCUUUAAGGGCGCUGAACCUGGGCGCCGAGAAGACACCUAGCGGAGUCCCCGUGUGCUGCUUAUGCCUCGAGCUCGGCCGAAAUGCUCCUUGCGAGACCAAAGAGCAGCUCCGCGCCCUGAGUAGCAAGCUGAGACCUGUCUCACACUGAGGGCCUGGGAGGGGUAGUCAUUACCCGGCCUGGCCUUUGAAUCUUGCCGAUGGUGGUAUUUAUAUUCUUAAAACGUGGCUGAGCAGACAGCCAUUUCCUUGGGGAGUUAAGUCAUCAGCUAACAGUGUCUGCAAAUGGCCCCAUGGAGACUGCCAGGGAGCAGGUUGAAGGUCACCGAUGGCUCCGGGCCUCACUGGGCCACACACGGGGAACGGGAGGAAAAGGUUAGCCGUAGUAGUCACGUGCCAUGCGUCGUGCACGACUUGUGUAUAAGACGACUCAUGAAUAGGAAGUAUUAUCCCCAUUUUACAGAAAAGCAAACUGAGUCUCAGAGAGGUGAAGUAAUCUGCCUAGGUCACACAGCUGGGACGCUGGAUGUCUGAAGUCUGGGGUAUCUGAUUCCAGAUUCCAUACGCUCACCCUCGGUGGACUCACAAUUCUCCUUUUUCGGGAAACAGGGAAGAAGACAGCCUCAGGAGAAGAGGGAGGAGACUGUGAGGGAACAGGAGAAUCGGAGGAAGAAAGGGGCGCCGGUGUUGGGGAGUGAGGUCGGGUGGCCUUGAUGAUUUGCACAGGCCUCCCGGAGGAGCCCCGGCCUGUCCAGCAGGAGCGGCAGCUUGCAGCCAGCCACAAAGCUCCGGGAAGAAAUCGAGGGGGUGUGGCCACAGAAGCCACUUCAAAAGCAACCCCGAGUGCGUUCUGCCUCUGGUGUCAGCAGGACACUUAGGUUGCAAGCGACAGAAAAGCUAAUCAAGCCAGCUUAACAGAAAAACAGAAAAAUAAACAUGGGCCCCCUCAACU